rnacentral:rRNA from 1 species
UACGUAGGGCGCGAGCGUUGUCCGGAAUUAUUGGGCGUAAAGAGCUCGUAGGCGGCCUGUUGCGUCCGCUGUGAAAUCCCAGGGCUCAACCUUGGGCGUGCAGUGGAUACGGGCAGGCGUGGAGGCAGGCAGGGGGAGAAUGGAAUUCCCGGUGUAGCGGUGAAAUGCGCAGAUAUCGGGAGGAACACCGGUGGCGAAGGCGGUUCUCUGGGCCUUACCUGACGCUGAGGAGCGAAAGCGUGGGGAGCGAACAGG